AACUUGACAAGUCUAUGUUGUAUGAAUCUAUGUUUAUAAUAGUCAAAGUAUAAUCAUUUAAUAAUUUGUGUGACUAUUUUUACUAAAAUCAUUAAGUAAUAAAUUAAUUUCACCAGUAAUAAGUCUACAUUUAAACCAGGAAACAUGGUACGGAAAUGUAUUGUCCUCAACUGUCAAUCAUCAAAGGGGAAUAAAAAUAAUAUUUCUCUUUUUCAUGUUCCAAAGGAUCCUCAACUUUUUGAUGCUUGGAAAUCAAAUCUUCCAAUGCUACGGAAACCUCUCAGUGUAUUAAGUUUGGUUUGUGAAAAACAUUUUCAUCCAAGUGAUGUUCUGUCACAAUAUACUCAAAAAUUACCUUCAGAAACGUGGAUAUAUCCUCGUAGUAAAAAAGGACUGAAACCUAAGGCUGUCCCUAUAUCUUCAGACGUCUGUUCAACUCCAGAUAAUACAAUAUUACAGGUUGAUAACGAGACAAGAAAAGCAAAUGAUGAAGUACCAAAUGAAUCUAAUAUUGAUGCACCAAUUGAUUCUUAUGUUCAUGCAUCCAUUGAUUCUGAUGUUAAUGUACCAGAUGAGCAUGAAUUUUAUGUACCAAUUCAAUGUAAUGUUCAUGAACAAAUUGACUCUGAUGUUCAUGUACCAGAUGAGCAUGAAUUUGAUGUACCAAUGCAAUGUUAUGUUCAUGAACAAAUUGACUCUGAUGUUCAUGCACCAACUAAAUCAUCAUUACAUACGAUACAUGCGUCAACUCAGACUGUAGACCAUGAAGACAUGGAAAUUCAAGAACUACCAACUGAACACUGUAAAGUGCCAUUUACUUUUGAUUCUCUACUCAAUAACCUGAAUAAUAUAAAAUAUCCUGGAAAUUGUGACUGGGCUCAUACUGUAGCCCCUGAUAAAAAAACAGUAAUUUUUGUAUCGGUUCCAACUGAUAAUAUAUUGCGUCGAGUGGAAAUAUAUGAUAAUUUAAAUUCUCGGGUUUUGAUGGAGUUUGUUCAUGUACAUCAAGAUUAUUUGCAGCAUAAUUUCAAAAAUAUGAGUCAAGUCGUUGAUUAUUUAACAACAAUUUAUAAUUGGAAACUCUGUGCCACUUUAAAAGAUACUGGAAGAUUCGUUUUUGAUACCGUUUGUGAAGGUAUUGUUUCUUGUUGUAUUAAACAAGGUAUUGGUCGACCACGUUUAAGGUGCAUGUCUUGUGUUAUAAAAUUAGAAUCCAAGAAGUAUCGAAAACCUCCACCAACUACUACAGUAAAAAAAGUCUUAAAAAAAAAGAUCUUGCAGCAGAAGGUGAUUUAAGCAAAAGAACUAUGUUGAGCAAUGAGAUAACAACAAGUAUUCUUACCUGAAACACAAGCUGUUACUGCUGUUGGUUGAUGAACUGUUACAACGUGAGCCAUUAUUUAAGUGAAGUGGAACAACUUGAAAUCAUUGAGCACUUUACAGUUAAUUGAAUUUACAAAGAAAAAAAGAAAAUUAAAAUUUAACUUUGGGUCUCUUAUCUUUCAUGUUGUCGAUAAUAGAUAUAUUUAAUAAGCUGCAAAAAGAAAUAGUUUUAAACCAGAAUAAGUGAAUAAUCAUUUUCUUCUGAUAAAAAUUUAUAUAAUUUUGUUUAUUUUAAUUUUUCGAUACAUCAACAUUAUUAUAAUUAUUUUUUUCUUUUUGUGUGUGUACUGUUGAGACUGGCUAAUGUACGAAUAUGUGUAAGCUAAAGACAAAUAACCAAGUUGUAUAGUUUUUACAUUUUUUAUUUCUUCAAAACAAUUAUUAGAGAAUUUUUCUUAUUCUCAAAAGGCACAUUUUUUUAUCUUUCAUAUGGUUUCAAAAUAUU
rnacentral:misc_RNA from 1 species